GGAAGGAUGGUCCAGUGGUUAGGGCACUAACCUGGGACUCUGGAGACUUGGGUUCAAUUCCCUGCUUUUUCA
rnacentral:tRNA from 1 species